rnacentral:rRNA from 1 species
CCUACGGGGCGCAGCAGUAAGGAAUAUUGGUCAAUGGGCGGAAGCCUGAACCAGCCAUGCCGCGUGCAGGAUGACUGCCCUAUGGGUUGUAAACUGCUUUUGUCCAGGAAUAAACCUAGAUACGUGUAUCUAGCUGAAUGUACUGGAAGAAUAAGGAUCGGCUAACUCCGUGCCAGCAGCCGCGGUAAUACGGAGGAUCCGAGCGUUAUCCGGAUUUAUUGGGUUUAAAGGGUGCGUAGGCGGCCUGUUAAGUCAGGGGUGAAAUACGGUGGCUCAACCAUCGCAGUGCCUUUGAUACUGACGGGCUUGAAUCCAUUUGAAGUGGGCGGAAUAAGACAAGUAGCGGUGAAAUGCAUAGAUAUGUCUUAGAACUCCGAUUGCGAAGGCAGCUCACUAAGCUGGUAUUGACGCUGAUGCACGAAAGCGUGGGGAUCGAACAGGAUUAGAUACCCUCGUAGUC